rnacentral:misc_RNA from 1 species
GAGGGUCUUCGAACAUUCCUUGAAUCUAAGGUAGAUAAGGACUCAGCUUCUGAUACUCUCCUUCCAAUACCUCUUCCUUGGGAUAAAUUCUCAAACUUCAAGAAUCCUUCAAGAACAUCCAAAAGCAAAGGACCACUAUCGCCAUUUCUGUUUAUAUCAUAUCCAUUCUUACUACUAAAUUCCUUCAACUCAGCUUUCCAAAAAUCCUUUUGCAAAUUGCACUCUGGCAGAUAAACUUUAUGCGUAUGAUUCAGUUGUG